UACGUAGGUGGCAAGCGUUGUUCGGAAUUACUGGGCGUAAAGGGCGCGUAGGCGGCCUGCUAAGUCGAACGUGAAAUCCCUGGGCUCAACCCAGGAACUGCGUCCGAUACUGGUUGGCUUGAAUCCGGGAGAGGGAUGUGGAAUUCCAGGUGUAGCGGUGAAAUGCGUAGAUAUCUGGAGGAACACCGGUGGCGAAGGCGACAUCCUGGACCGGCAUUGACGCUGAGGCGCGAAAGCCAGGGGAGCAAACGGG
rnacentral:rRNA from 1 species